GCAUUCGUUUGGGCUAUUAUUCUAGUUUUUGUAGUUAUAGUCUGGGGCCGAGUUUUCACAUGUUUAAAAAGUAUGGUUUAUAUUUAUCAAAAGAAAAAGAUUACAUUUGUUCCUGUAAAGAUUUUAUUACAAGACCAGGGGUCUCGAAUCAUAAAAACAAAAGAAGAAGAGAGCAUAAGUCAUUCCUCAGGGGGAUUGCCAGGGCAGUCAUCUGUAGGAUGAUAUUUUUUGGUGCAGACGAUGCUUUUGAUCUGAACAGCUACGUUGGCCUUUUCCAUCUCAUUUGAAAAGUGGGACGUCAUCGUGAAUCUUGACAAGUUAUCCUACAACACCGCC
rnacentral:lncRNA from 1 species